GACGAACGCUGGCGGCGUGCUUAACACAUGCAAGUCGAACGGAAAGGCCCUGCUUUUGUGGGGUGCUCGAGAGGCGAACGGGUGAGUAACACGUGAGUAACCUGCCCUUGACUUUGGGAUAACUUCAGGAAACAGGGGCUAAUACCGGAGAGGAGAUCCUGCUGCAUGGGGGGGGUUGGAAAGUUUCGGCGGUUGGGGAUGGACUCGCGGCUUAUCAGCUUGUUGGUGGGGUAGUGGCUUACCAAGGCUUUGACGGGUAGCCGGCCUGAGAGGGUGACCAGCCUCCUGGGGACUGCGGUACGGCCCAGUCUCCUACGGGCGGCAGCAGUGGGGAAUAUUGCGCAAUGAGCGGAAGCCUGAUGCAGCGACGCCGCGUGCGGGAUGACGGCCUUCGGGUUGUAAACCGCUUUCGCCUGUGACGAAGCGUGAGUGACGGUAAUGGGUAAAGAAGCACCGGCUAACUACGUG
rnacentral:rRNA from 1 species